rnacentral:ncRNA from 2 species
UGCCUUUCAAGAGAGAUGGAGAGAAUCAGCCCAAGGAAGUCUGGCAACUUGCUGGAUGCAAGGUGCAAAAUCCAACAAAAUGGAUACCCAUUUUGAAAGAGAGGGU